rnacentral:ncRNA from 1 species
GACCCGAAAGAUGGUGAACUAUGCCCGAGCAGGGCGAAGCCAGGGGAAACCCUGGUGGAGGUCCGUAGCGAUUCUGACGUGCAAAUCGAUCGUCAAACUUGGGUAUAGGGGCGAAAGACUAAUCGAACCAUCUAGUAGCUGG